rnacentral:rRNA from 1 species
AUGCGAGCAGUAAAACCUAGAUACCAAUCCGCUCACGUCCUCGAGCCCCACGCAACUCCACUUUCUCUUCGUUUCUCUCCUCCUCCUCGAUCUCCAGCGCAUGGCAGCCGCCGCUCAUCCUUCUCCUCUUCUCUCACGUGCCACCAGAUUUUGCCUGCUUGGCAAAGUGUAAAAAAGGCAAUACCUGCUCGGCAAAGUAUAAAAAGGCAAAGAGCUGAGAAAGAAGAGAAGAAGAGGAAUCUAGCAGAGGAAUGUGAAUAUUCUCUCUUGUGGAACACAAUAAGGAGAGAAAAAAGCAUCUUUGAGACGCUUGAUCGUUCAUGCCGUGGUUGGAUGAGAAUGGAGAACUAUAAUGCAAAUGGAGGACUGUCCAUACAAAUUUUGUUUUAUUGGUCAGACUAUUUGUUCAUUUGGCUAUCUUAA